GUCAACAGCUUAGGGCAGGCAUAUGACACGCUGGAUAACAGCGCAAUGAGCUCCUGUUCCUAGAAGAAGAAGGAAUCAGAGUGAGAACUAACUUUACUGAUUACUCAUCUCUGAGCUGGAGCUGGAGCUGUCGAUGAGAUGAGCGGAAAACCUGUCAGAGAGAGAGAGGUGGCAGUUAGACACCACCACCAAUGUCACACUGGCACCCUGGUGCACUGAAACCCUUGAGGAUGUGUCGCCUGGCUGAGGUUUCGGCAGAGAACACCAGUACAGUCGAGGGGACAAUGGAGGAGGUGGUAAACAGGAGGUUGAGAAAGAGAAGAAAGAGAAGGCCAGAUGGGAAGGUACACAGGGCUGAGACAAAGGCCAACUGUUGGUAAAUCCAUUCGGGGAAAAACAAAUAAAUCAACGUGAUGGGUGCGAUUUACCACAGCUUUAAAACUGAUUUCAUAAAGAGAUGCUGAGGAAUUGCUCAUGAUUUCUCCAUGUUUUAUCUCUAUGUGUAUGAGUGCCCAUCCCCCUUUUAGUCCCUGCAGUGAGAGCAGGCAGGCUGGUGAAGUUGGGGGCAGGGCAACUCUCUCUCGCUCUCUUUCUGUGUCUCUCGAGCCGGCUGACAGCUGCUCGGGGAGGCCUGGGGCUGCUGCUUAUGGCUGGGCAGAGCCGCAGCCACAUCCUGCAGGAUUCAGUGAAGAGCUCAUGCGUCCUCACGGUCAUGAGCAGCCGCAAACUGGAGCAACCAGAAAUAAAGACCGCCUUGACAAAGAAGUCCUAAUGUUUACUCAAUCUAUCCACUUGUGUUAAUAUUUGAGGAAUCCCUGCGUGGCUGCAUGGGCUGGAAGAAAGACAUGACACACAAACGCACAGUGUUUAAAGGCUUAAAGUCCAUCAUAACUGACAGCUGCUUCCUGUCAGGGCCCAAACUGUGAUUACCCAGGUCGCAUGCUUUGACCCUCAGACUGCUGUCAAGCGGUACCGCGCCCUAAUCCUUGAGAAAUAUAUGUAUAAUCUCUUCCUGGAAUGGAGUGAGGCAAGUUUGGGAAAGGCUGCAUAUUUGGCAAGAGAUAUUCAAAAAUUGCAUAAUGCAGCUAUUGUUGAGGAACAUCUCAAUGCUGUAAUAUCCUUUAACCAGAAUUAGUCCCACUUUGAUCGCCAGCACAAAUUUCAGUUAUUCUUCUCACCUUCAAACCAAAAAAACAAAACAAAACAUAACUUAUAGAAAAUGACCCAUAUAUAAGAUAUUUAUUAUACUAAUUACAUUAUAAAGGCAGAAAGGGUGGGAGAGACGAGCUGUUACUGAAUGCAAAUGAGAGAGUGGAGUGAUCAAACCCCAAAUGAUUAACCUGGAUCAAUAAAACGACCCAAUCUAAAAAGCCUGGCCAGCACACCCGGGUUGUCAAUACAGAUGACAGGGGUGAGAAAUGACUCUGUAGGCAUCAAGGACAAAGGAGGAGACGGCUCACUGACACAUGGCUCUGCAGACACGCCAAGGCCUGUUUUUUUUUUUUUUUAAGCCACCAUGCAGUUUGCCCGGCAACUCCAAGGACAGGUGGAACACGUGAGAUAAACAGAGACACGUCAAGCUGGAUGGUUUUCUUUUUCUUCAUGACUGUAAAGCUAAGAUUUCCACUUUGGUAAACAAAGUGGAAACUACAUCCUCAGAAGAAUGUGUGUGCACGCA